rnacentral:rRNA from 1 species
UUCCGGUUGAUCCUGCCGGACCUUACUGCUAUCGGGAUGGGACUAAGCCAUGCAAGUCGCUCAAGCUAUGUGAGGCGAACGGCUCCGUAACACGUAGUUAACCUACCCUCGGGACGGGGAUAACCCCGGGAAACUGGGAUUAAUACCUGCUAGAUGAUUCUGCCUGGAAUGGCUUAUCAUCGAAAAGGCUGGGCGCCCGAGGAUGGGACUGCGUCCGAUCAGGUUGUUGGCGGGGUAACGGCCCACCAAGCCUAUAACCGGUACGGGCCCUGAGAGGGGGAGCCCGGAGAUGGAAACUGAGACAAGGUUCCAGGCCCUACGGGGUGCAGCAGGCGCGAAAUCUCCACAAUGCGCGAAAGCGUGAUGGGGUUAUCCCGAGUGCCGUCCGCUGAGGAUGGCUUUUACCCAGUCUAGAACGCUGGAGGAAUAAGGCGAGGGCAAGUUCUGGUGUCAGCCGCCGCGGUAAUACCAGCUCGCCGAGUGGUAGGGAUGAUUAUUGGGCCUGAAGCGUCCGUAGCCGGCCUUUCAAGUCUUCUGUUAAAUCCAGCGACCUAAUCGUUGGGCUGCAGGAGAUACUGUUGGGCUAGGGGGCGGAAGAAGCCGACGGUACUCCCGGGGUAGGGGUGAAAUCCUAUAAUCCCAGGAGGACCACCAGUGGCGAAGGCGGUCGGCUAGAACGCGCUCGACGGUGAGGGACGAAAGCUGGGGGAGCGAUCCGGAUUAGAUACCCGGAUAGUCCCAGCUGUAAACGAUGCUGGCUAGGUGUUGGGGUGGCCACGAGCCACUUCAGUGCCGCAGGGAAGCCAUUAAGCCAGCCGCCUGGGGAGUACGGCCGCAAGGCUGAAACUUAAAGGAAUUGGCGGGGGAGCACCACAAGGGGUGAAGCUUGCGGUUCAAUUGGAUUCAACGCCGGA